rnacentral:rRNA from 1 species
UGAGGGAAGAACAAGUACCAACUAACUACUGGUACCGUGACGGUACCUCACCAGAAAGCCACGGCUAACUACGUGCCAGCAGCCGCGGUAAUACGUAGGUGGCAAGCGUUGUCCGGAAUUAUUGGGCGUAAGGCGCGCGCAGGCGGUCCUUUAAGUCUGAUGUGAAAGCCCACGGCUCAACCGUGGAGGGUCAUUGGAAACUGGAGGACUUGAGUGCAGAAGAGGAAAGUGGAAUUCCACGUGUAGCGGUGAAAUGCGUAGAGAUGUGGAGGAACACCAGUGGCGAAGGCGACUUUCUGGUCUGUAACUGACACUGAGGCGCGAAAGCGUGGGGAGCAAACAGGAUUAGAUACCCUGGUAGUCCACGCCGUAAACGAUGAGUGCUAAGUGUUAGGGGGUUUCCACCCCUUAGUGCUGCAGCUAACGCAUUAAGCACUCCGCCUGGGGAGUACGGCCGCAAGGCUGAAACUCAAAGGAAUUGACGGGGGCCCGCACAAGCGGUGGAGCAUGUGGUUU